rnacentral:rRNA from 1 species
GACGAACCGUGCAAACGUUGUUCGGAAUCACUGGGCUUAAAGGGCGCGUAGGCGGGCCAGCCAGUCUGUGGUGAAAGCCACCAGCUUAACUGGAGAAGUGCCGUGGAUACUGCUGGCCUCGAGGAGGAUAGGGGCAUCUGGAACGGUCGGUGGAGCGGUGAAAUGCGUUGAUAUCGACCGGAACUCCGGUGGCGAAGGCGAGGUGCUGGGUCCUUUCUGACGCUGAUGCGCGAAAGCCAGGGGAGCAAACGGG